CCGUGCCAGCAGCUGCGGUAAUACGGAGGGUGCAAGCAUUAAUCGGAUUUAUUGGGCGUAAAGGGCGCGUAGGCGGGUAGACAAGUCAGAUGUGAAAUCUCGGAGCUCAACUCCGGAACUGCAUUUGAAACUGUAUAUCUAGAGGGUAGACGGAGAAAAUAGAAUUCCACAUGUAGCGGUGAAAUGCGUAGAUAUGUGGAAGAAUACCGGUGGCGAAGGCGAUUUUCUAGUUUAUACCUGACGCUGAGGCGCGAAAGUAAGGGGAUCAAACAGGAUUAGAUACCCUGGUAGUCCUUACUGUAAACGAUGUAUACUUGGUGUAACCGGACUCAACCCUGGUUGUGCCGUAGCUAACGCGAUAAGUAUACCGCCUGGGGAGUACGCUCGCAAGGGUGAAACUCAAAAGAAUUGACGGGGGCCCGCACAAGCAGUGGAGCAUGUGGUUUAAUUCGAUGCAACGCGAAGAACCUUACCUGGGCUCGAAAUGUAGAGGACGACCGCAGAGAUGUGGUUUCUCGAAAGGGUCUCUAUAUAGGUGCUGCAUGGCUGUCGUCAGCUCGUGCCGUGAGGUGUUUGGUUAAGUCCAGCAACGAGCGCAACCCUUAUCGUUAGUUGCCAGCGCGUAAAGGCGGGAACUCUAACGAGACUGCCUGGGUUAACCAGGAGGAAGGUGAGGAUGACGUCAAGUCCGCAUGGCCUUUAUGUCCAGGGCUACACACGUGCUACAAUGGUCGGUACAGAAGGCAGCGAAACCGUAAGGCGGAGCAAAUCCCUAAAACCGAUCUCAGUUCAGAUUGUAGUCUGCAACUCGGCUACAUGAAGUUGGAAUUGCUAGUAAUGGCGUGUCAGCAACAACGCCGUGAAUACGUUCCCGGGCCUUGUACACACCGCCCGUCACAUCAUGGGAGUUGGUUUUACCCGAAGUUACUGACCCGACCGCAAGGAGGGAGGUACCUAAGGUAAGGCCGAUGACUGGGAUGAAGUCGUAACAAGGUAGCCCUAUCGGAAGGUGGGGCUG
rnacentral:rRNA from 1 species